GGAAAUCAAUAUCUUCNCCUUAAAAAGCGUCGGUAAACUUAUACAACUUUCAACAACGGAUCUCUUGGCUCUCGCAUCNAUGAAAAACGCAGCGAAAUGCGAUAAGUAAUGUGAAUUGCAGAUUUUCAGUGAAUCAUCGAAUCUUUGAACGCACCUUGCGCUCCUUGGUAUUCCGAGGAGCAUGCCUGUUUGAGUGUCAUUAAAUACCUCAACCCCGAUGGAUUUGUUUCCUUCGGGGCUUGGACUUGNAGCGUGCUGGCGCGAGUCGGCUCCUCUCAAAUGCAUCAGCGGAAAUCAAUCUUUGGCUUUCGGACUUCAGUGUGAUAACCAUGUUGCGCUGUGGCACGAGCCUUAAGGUCCGCUUACAAUGGUCUUUGGACGAUUUCAUCAAAUUUGACCUCAAAUCAGGUAGGACUACCCGCUGAAC
rnacentral:rRNA from 1 species